rnacentral:rRNA from 1 species
GAACGCUGGCGGCGUGCUUAACACAUGCAAGUCGAACGAAGCAUUUAAGACAGAUUUUUUCGGAAUGAAGUUUUUUAUGACUGAGUGACGGACGGGUGAGUAACGCGUGGGUAACCUGCCUCACACAGGGGGAUAGCAGCUGGAAACGGCUGGUAAUACCGCAUAAGCGCACAGUACCACAUGGUACAGUGUGAAAAAACUCCGGUGGUAUGAGAUGGACCCGCGUCUGAUUAGCUUGUUGGCGGGUAACGGCCCACCAAGGCGACGAUCAGUAGCCGACCUGAGAGGGUGACCGGCCACAUUGGGACUGAGACACGGCCCAGACUCCUACGGGAGGCAGCAGUGGGGAAUAUUGCACAAUGGAGGAAACUCUGAUGCAGCGACGCCGCGUGAGUGAAGAAGUAGUUCGCUAUGUAAAGCUCUAUCAGCAGGGAAGAUAGUGACGGUACCUGACUAAGAAGCUCCGGCUAAAUACGUG